rnacentral:rRNA from 1 species
CCUACGGGAGGCAGCAGUGAGGAAUAUUGGUCAAUGGACGAGAGUCUGAACCAGCCAAGUAGCGUGAAGGAUGACUGCCCUAUGGGUUGUAAACUUCUUUUAUAUGGGAAUAAAAUGUUCCACGUGUGGGAUUUUGUAUGUACCAUAUGAAUAAGGAUCGGCUAAAUCCGUGCCAGCAGCCGCGGUAAUACGGAGGAUCCGAGCGUUAUCCGGAUUUAUUGGGUUUAAAGGGAGCGUAGGUGGAUUGUUAAGUCAGUUGUGAAAGUUUGCGGCUAAACCGUAAAAUUGCAGUUGAAACUGGCAGUCGUGAGUACAGUAGAGGUGGGCGGAAUUCGUGGUGUAGCGGUGAAAUGCUUAGAUAUCACGAAGAACUCCGAUUGCGAAGGCAGCUCACUGGACUGCAACUGACACUGAGGCUCGAAAGUGUGGGUAUCAAACAGGAUUAGAUACCCCGGUAGUC